UACGUAGGUGGCAAGCGUUGUCCGGAUUUACUGGGCGUAAAGGGCGUGCAGGCGGCUUGUUAAGUGCAGGGUGAAGGCUCCCGGCUCAACUGGGAGAGGUUCUUGCAUACUGGCGAGCUCGAGGGAGGCAGAGGAAAGUGGAAUUCCCGGUGUAGUGGUGAUAUGCGUAGAUAUCGGGAGGAACACCUGUGGCGAAGGCGGCUUUCUGGGCCUUACCUGACGCUGAGACGCGAAAGCGUGGGGAGCGAACAGG
rnacentral:rRNA from 1 species